GGGGAGAGACUGUGGAUUUCAUUCAGACUCAGAAGUCUGAGAAACUAAGAAGGCUAAGAAGCUCUUACAUAAGUAGCGCUCUGGCCAUCUUCAUGUGCUCUGGAGGAAACUGGCAGGUGCGCUGCGGUAGAACUCACCGAUAAUCGCCUCGUGUUGAUGCCAUGGUGGAAGGACCAGAAAGCUUAUGAGCCUGACCAUCUCUAUCGGGAGGUUUCCUUGAUGGUGUUCUUCAUUCCUGUUCUUUUUGACCCUGGAGUCUAAGUUUACUCACCAUAUUGUGAACUCCCCACUAUGCAUCCAAUAAGAAUUUUCUGGUUUUUGUUUAAUUUAGCUGGAAUCAGUUACUGCUGCUCCUAAAACCUGGCUCCGCAGACAAUCAAUUCUAUAGUACUCCCUCCUACUUCCCCCUACUUCCUCUCUGCUUCCUCCCUACUUCUUUCCCUUUUUGCUCUUUUUUCUCCUUUCUGCCUUCUCUCUUUUCUUAUUGUCUCAUACUUUUAUUGCCCGUGCUUAGAGGUUUUGAAGGAUGAAUGAAAAAUGAAAAGGCGAAUGCAAAAAAUAGAAAAAAAAAAAAGAAAAUAUUUGAAAGAUGUUUAAUCCCAACUGCUUUAUUUAUUUUUCUUUUCAACUAAAAUGGAAGGAUCCCUGGCCGUAUAUUUUAGACCAUUCCAAGUCUUAUGGGAAUGCAGUAAAAUAUGAUUAUUAGUAGCAAAACAAAACAAUACAAAAAGCAAAGCAAGUUGAUCCCCUCUCCAAAUUAUUCAGCAAACCCAACAUUUUCAUAAUGUUGGUCUUUCAAACAUGUUCAUGGCUCAUGGCUUGUCUAAACUAAUUAGACAGUUUGAUGGAUACAAUAUUUAUUUUCAAAGGAUCACGCCAGAUCUUCUUAUAAAAGUAAUUAACAAAGUUAUUUUUGGAAGUUAAUGUUUCUCUGUAGCAAGCUGGGAGAAUUUAAGUUUUAAUGUCCAGAGAUGGUGUCACUAAAGGUGCAUUUAAAUAUUUAGCCAAAAAUUAGAGGGCCUGAAGUUACAAAGUUUACUUGAAAGAGAAAUGAGUCACAUCACCAGGAGUUUAUCUCUUAGACUUGCUUGCUUGCAUGGUCACCAGAAGUCUGUUUUGUUCUUGGUUCCCUCCUUAAGACAUUCAACAGCUGUUGCUUCCCCUAAACCGUAAACUCCCUCUUCCUGUACUACCCAGGCUGCUAUAGGCACAGACAGUCCGGAAAUGUGAGACACUUUGGUAAAUAACAGAAGUUAGCAGUGAUAGGAAUAAACUGUAGAUCCUUUUAGGAACCAGAGCAGGGUCCUCUUACAUCAGCACAGCAGAUUCAGGUAAGCCUCAGCAUAAGCCACUUACGGAGCAAAGAACUCGGCCCACCUACGUCAUUUCUAUGAGCAUAAUCGUAGCAGACACGUACAGCUGACUUCUAUCUCAAUCUGCCAAACUGUUUUUUCAUCUGUCAGCAAACUAUCUCCACUUUAAUUAAGAAUGCAUUGAUUUUUGUCUUUUUUAUUGUUCAUAAAGCAUUCAGUCUAUUUGCACUUUAUUUACCUUUUAAAAUUUAUUUGUUUAUUUUUGUGAGCAUUGUUAUUUUACCUUCGUGGUAUGUCUGUGCAUCACAUGAUGCAUGUUUGGUUCCCCUGAAGGACAGAACAGGCUUCAGAGCCUCUGGAGCUGGAGUUACAGACUGUUAUGAGCUGGAAUGUGGGUCCUGGGAAUCAUACCCAGGUCCCGUGAGAGAGCAGCCAGUGCUCUUGACCACAGAGACACCUCUCUAGCUCCCUGUACCUCUUUUAAUACCUAAUAUGUUACUUGAUCCUGUUUUAAUGUUUUGGGCUUUAUAAAAAUAGAUAAAGUAUUUGUGCCAAUUAAUAAGUUUAAUAAAAAAGUUAGAUCCAAUCUUGCAUUUCAGAUAAUUCUUAUACCUCCUGAGACAUAAAAAAAUCUUCCUUUAUAUACAAAAAUAAUCAUUGGACUUUUACAAGUAUUGUGCCAGAAAUAGCAGGAAGGGUUUAUCACUUCAGUUUUAAAAUAGUAAGACGAGCUUAAAGCAAAGCAAACUGUUCUGAGAAUUUAGUGGAUUUAGAAUAGUAAAAAUUUUCCAAUAAUAAAAAAUUU
rnacentral:lncRNA from 1 species